AAAGAAGCUUGGGCCUUUUGUCUUUACCCUCAGGGAUCCACAGAGGAGGUAGACAAGCUGCUAUGUAGAACUGUAACUUCCGGUCUACAUUCCCCAUGAGACUGUGAACUUCUUAAAGCAUGUGACUUCCAUCCUCGUGGUUUGCAAGAUGGUUGCUGUAACUCCAAGAGUUGUGAACACGCUCCGGACAGAAGAAGGAGGGAGGAGGAAAGAAGGAGAAGAGCCAGUAUUGGGAAAAUGGAAGCUUUCCUCAGAAAUCCCCCAUGGACUUCCGCUUCUGUCUCAUUGGCCAGAACGGGGUCAUGUGACGACUGGCUGUGAAGAGGUCUGGGAAGGUUCAUGUUUUCAGCUGAGUAUAUUGUAGGGCUGAACAAAAUUGGGGUUUUGUGGUGAGAAGGAAGUAGAGAUUAGAAUGGGGGAAUAACUAGCCGUUCUGGCAUGUGUCACGGUCUACUUCUUUAUUUCUUCUAACUUUAGAACCAGACAAAUAGGUGAAUAAAC
rnacentral:lncRNA from 1 species